rnacentral:rRNA from 1 species
GAUGAACGCUGGCGGCGUGCCUAAUACAUGCAAGUCGAGCGAAUGGAUUAAGAGCUUGCUCUUAUGAAGUUAGCGGCGGACGGGCGAGUAACACGUGGGUAACCUGCCCAUAAGACUGGGAUAACUCCGGGAAACCGGGGCUAAUACCGGAUAACAUUUUGAACCGCAUGGUUCGAAAUUGAAAGGCGGCUUCGGCUGUCACUUAUGGAUGGACCCGCGUCGCAUUAGCUAUUUGGUGAGGUAACGGCUCACCAAGGCAACGAUGCGUAGCCGACCUGAGAGGGUGAUCGGCCACACUGGGACUGAGACACAGCCCAGACUCCUACGGGAGGCAGCAGUAGGGAAUCUUCCGCAAUGGACGAAAGUCUGACGGAGCAACGCCGCGUGAGUGAUGAAGGCUUUCGGGUCGUAAAACUCUGUUGUUAGGGAAGAACAAGUGCUAGUUGAAUAAGCUGACACCUUGACGGUACCUAACCAGAAAGCCACGGCUAACUACGUGCCAGCAGCCGCGGUAA